CCCUGGAACGGGUCCCAUAGACCUGUGAGGGCUGAAGGGUAUUACGGUGAUCGUUCUACCACAAAUUCACAGGAUUCUAGUCGGUGCACUCAGCUCUCAGCAAAAGAAGGCUUGGGCACGCCCUUCCUAACCGACAUUCCAAAGAGAUCGGAAACCUUUUAAGAGCCUCCACCAUGCAGGAAAGGGAAGAUCGAGGCCCAAGUAUGAAGGGCUCUUAAAGAGCCUCCGCCUGACCUAACCCAGUCGGGUUUAUUCUAGUCCUCCAACCAAGGCAGGGUCAUAUGAUCCAGUUCAACACCGAUUGAAGGUGAGGAAAUGAAUAGCUGAUCUUCAGUUCAAUGAAUUGGUGGGAGGAUCGAUUGAUCAUCUGUUGAUCUACAGACCUGCGACUACAUCUCCCUUCAUUCGUUUCAAUCAGUCGGAGCUACGAUCAGACGAGUUUGACCAUCAUUACCCUCAAGUUGCACUCCGAAAAGGCCCAUUGAAAUGCAUCAUAUCGAAAUGGGAACUAUAUGUGCCCUAUUCUCACUCUAAAGUAUAUGUGAAGGCCUUCGAAUGGUAAACCACUCAAAGGAGGAACCCAUCCAAUCAACGUUUUCCCCACUUAUUACCGCAACUCAUUCCCGUUUCCAUUCCACUGCCACUUCAUUGUUGGCUGUUUGUCAGCC